GACGAACGCUGGCGGCGUGCCUAAUACAUGCAAGUCGAACGCAGUGGGGACGGGUGAGUAACACGUGGGUAACCGCCCAUCAGAGGGGAUAACACUUGGAAAAAGGUGCUAAACGGAUAUGGAUGGAUGGACGCGCGGUGCAUUAGCUAGUUGGUGAGGUAACGGCUCACCAAGGCCACGAUGCAUAGCUGACCUGAGAGGGUGAUCGGCCACACUGGGACUGAGACACGGCCCAGACUCCUACGGGAGGCAGCAGUAGGGAAUCUUCGACAAUGGACGAAAGUCUGACCGAGCCACGCCGCGUGAGUGAAGAAGGUCUUCGGAUCGUAAAACACUGUUGUUAGAGAAGCGGUAUCUAACCAGAAAGCCCCGGCUAACUACGUGCCAGCAGCCGCGGUAAUAC
rnacentral:rRNA from 1 species